rnacentral:ncRNA from 3 species
UGAGGUAGUAGGUUGUGUGG